GACGAACGCUGGCGGCGUGCCUAAUACAUGCAAGUAGAACGCAGUUGCGCACGGGUGAGUAACGCGUAGGUAACUGCCUGGUAGCGGGGGAUAACUAUUGGAAACGAUAGCUAAUACCGCAUACUACCAGCUGGACCUGCGUUGUAAUAGCUAGUUGGUGGGGUAACGGCGCACCAAGGCAACGAUACAUAGCCGAACUGGGAGGGUGGUCGGCAACACUGGGACUGGGCAACUGCUCAGAAUCCUACGGGAGGCAGCAGGAGGGGAUCUUCGGCAAUGGACGGAAGUCUGACCGAGCAAAGCCGCGUGAGUGAAGGAGGUUUGCGGAUCGUAAAGCUCUGUUGUAAGAGAAGCGGUAUCUUACCAGAAAGGGACGGCUAACUACGUGCCAGCAGCCGCGGUAAUUC
rnacentral:rRNA from 1 species